rnacentral:rRNA from 1 species
GGGGGCAACCCUGACGAAGCAAGUGCCGCGUGGAUGAUGAAGUCUCUUGGGACGUAAAAUCCUUUCGACAGGGAAGAAACCGCAAGGUUGACCGGUACCUGUAGAAGAAGCCCCGGCUAACUCCGUGCCAGCAGCCGCGGUAAUACGGGGGGGGCAAGCGUUGUUCGGAAUUACUGGGCGUAAAGGGUGCGUAGGCGGCUCUCUAAGUCGGAUGUAGAAAACUCUGGGCUCAACCCAGAGCCUGCAUCUGAAACUGGAGGGCUAGGGUUCUGGAGGGAAGCGGAAUUCCUGGUGUAGCGGUGAAAUGCGUAGAUAUCAGGAGGAACACCGGUGGCGAAGGCGGCUUUCUGGACAGAUACCGACGCUGAGGCACGAAAGCUAGGGGAGCAAACAGGAUUAGAUACCCUGGUAGUCCUAGCCCUAAACGAUGGAUACUUGCUGUGGGGGGGAUUGAAGCCCCUUGUGGCGAAGCUAACGCAUUAAGUAUCCCGCCUGGGGAGUACGGUCGCAAGGCUG